AUUGAACGCUGGCGGCAGGCCUAACACAUGCAAGUCGAGCGGUAGAGAGGAGCUUGCUUCUCUUGAGAGCGGCGGACGGGUGAGUAAUGCCUAGGAAUCUGCCUAGUGGUGGGGGAUAACGUUCGGAAACGGACGCUAAUACCGCAUACGUCCUACGGGAGAAAGCGGGGGAUCUUCGGACCCUGCGCCAUUAGAUGAGCCUAGGUCGGAUUAGCUAGUUGGUGAGGUAAGGGCGCACCAAGGCGACGAUCCGUAACUGGUCUGAGAGGAUGAUCAGUCACACUGGAACUGAGACACGGUCCAGACUCCUACGGGAGGCAGCAGUGGGGAAUAUUGGACAAUGGGCGAAAGCCUGAUCCAGCCAUGCCGCGUGUGUGAAGAAGGUCUUCGGAUUGUAAAGCACUUUAAGUUGGGAGGAAGGGUAGUAACCUAAUACGUUGCUACUUUGACGUUACCGACAGAAUAAGCACCGGCUAACUUCGUGCCAGCCGCCGCCGUAACAC
rnacentral:rRNA from 1 species